rnacentral:tRNA from 1 species
CGGCCAGUGGCGGAGCGGUCAAACGCACCUCCGAAUCAGACUGUCGCGGGCUCGAAUCCCGUCUGGUUGG